rnacentral:rRNA from 1 species
GACGUAGGGGGCCAGCGUUGUUCGGAAUUACUGGGUGUAAAGGGCGCGUAGGCGGCCCGCUAAGUCGAACGUGAAAUCCCUGGGCUCAACCCAGGAACUGCGUCCGAUACUGGCAGGCUUGAAUCCGGGAGAGGGAUGUGGAAUUCCAGGUGUAGCGGUGAAAUGCGUAGAUAUCAGGAAGAACACCUAUGGCGAAGGCAGUUCUCUGGGACGGUACUGACGCUGAGACGCGAAAGCGUGGGGAGCGAACAGG